rnacentral:ncRNA from 2 species
AACUUAUCCAGAGUGACGGAGGGAACAGGACCUACGAUGUCACAGCAACCUACCUUUACGGAGUGGUGCUUCUUCCUGCAGAAUUUUUUCUGAAAGAUAAGGU